CCUANGGGGGGCAGCAACUAGGAAUAUUGCACAAUGGGCGAAAGCCUGAUGCAGCGACGCCGCGUGAGGGACGAAGGCCUUCGGGUUGUAAACCUCUUUUGCUUCGGAUAAAUUUCCCCGCUUAGCGGGGAGUUGAUAGUACGGAGCGAAUAAGUGCUUGCCAACUACGUGCCAGAAGCCUCGGUUAUACGUGGGGCACGAACGUUACCCAGUCUCAUUGGGCGUAAAGAGAUGCGUAGGCGUCUUGAAAAGUCUUUGGUGAAAGCCCCGGGCUUAACCCGGGAACUGCUGAAGAAACUGUGAAGAUUGAGGGAGAUAGAAGCGAACGGAAUUCCUAGAGGAGCGGUGGAAUGCGUUGAUACUAGGAGGGACACCAGUGGCAAAGGCGGUUCGCUAUGUCUUUUCUGACGCUAAGGCUCGAAAGCGUGGGGAGCAAAACGGAUUAGAUACCCCUNUANUC
rnacentral:rRNA from 1 species